rnacentral:tRNA from 1 species
GCGCCUGUGGCUCAAUGGAUAGAGCGUCUGACUACGGAUCAGGAGGCUGGGGGUUCGAAUCCCUUCAGGCGCG